AGUGAACGCUGGCGGUAGGCCUAACACAUGCAAGUCGAACGGCAGCACAGUAAGAGCUUGCUCUUACGGGUGGCGAGUGGCGGACGGGUGAGGAAUACAUCGGAAUCUACUUUUUCGUGGGGGAUAGCGUAGGGAAACUUACGCUAAUACCGCAUACGACCUACGGGUGAAAGCAGGGGAUCUUCGGACCUUGCGCGAUUGAAUGAGCCGAUGUCGGAUUAGCUAGUUGGCGGGGUAAAGGCCCACCAAGGCGACGAUCCGUAGCUGGUCUGAGAGGAUGAUCAGCCACACUGGAACUGAGACACGGUCCAGACUCCUACGGGAGGCAGCAGUGGGGAAUAUUGGACAAUGGGCGCAAGCCUGAUCCAGCCAUACCGCGUGGGUGAAGAAGGCCUUCGGGUUGUAAAGCCCUUUUGUUGGGAAAGAAAAGCAGCAGGUUAAUACCCCGCUGUUCUGACGGUACCCAAAGAAUAAGCACCGGCCAACUUCGUG
rnacentral:rRNA from 1 species